rnacentral:rRNA from 1 species
GAGUUUGAUCCUGGCUCAGAUUGAACGCUGGCGGCAUGCCUUACACAUGCAAGUCGAACGGCAGCAUGAUCUAGCUUGCUAGAUUGAUGGCGAGUGGCGAACGGGUGAGUAAUACAUCGGAACGUGCCCUGUAGUGGGGGAUAACUAGUCGAAAGAUUAGCUAAUACCGCAUACGACCUGAGGGUGAAAGUGGGGGACCGCAAGGCCUCAUGCUAUAGGAGCGGCCGAUGUCUGAUUAGCUAGUUGGUGGGGUAAAGGCCCACCAAGGCGACGAUCAGUAGCUGGUCUGAGAGGACGAUCAGCCACACUGGGACUGAGACACGGCCCAGACUCCUACGGGAGGCAGCAGUGGGGAAUUUUGGACAAUGGGCGAAAGCCUGAUCCAGCAAUGCCGCGUGUGUGAAGAAGGCCUCGGUUGUAA